GGGAUGCCGUCGCAGCCCACCUCGCUGCACUACGCAAGCCCCUACCAGCUGAGCGCCUACGCCCUGGCGCUGAAGGCGGUGGGGGAGGUCAUCCAGGACUACGACAGUGACAAGCUCUUCCCCGCCUACGGCUUCGGUGCCAAACUCCCGCCCGACGGCAAGAUCUCCCACCAGUUCCCCCUGAACAACAACGCGGACAACCCCAGCUGCGCCGGCAUCGAGGGCGUGCUGGAGUCCUACCUCCAGAGCCUGCGCACCGUCCAGCUCUACGGUCCCACCAACUUCGCCCCCGUCAUCAACCAGGUGGCUGGGGCGGCCGCCCAGGUGACGGAUGGCUCGCAGUACCACGUCCUCCUCAUCAUCACCGACGGCGUCAUCCCCGAC